rnacentral:scRNA from 1 species
GGGGUUGGGGAUUUAGCUCAGUGGUAAAGCGCCUGCCUAGGAAGCGCAAGGCCCUGGGUUCAGUCCCCAGCUCCGAAAAAAAGAACCAAAAAAAAAAAAAAAGAAAAAAA